rnacentral:lncRNA from 1 species
UUAGAAUGCAACACUAUUAAAUUAUAUAAAAUAAUUGUUAUAUUCUAAAAAUUUAAGUAAUUAAAAAAUAAUAUUUUUAUAUUUUUAUUUAACAUAUAUUUUUAUACUUAAUAAUUUCGAGAGGUUUCAGCUAAUAGAUAACGAUAUUUUUAUAUUUUUGUAUUUAACACUUUGUCUUUUAUGAACUUGAAAUUUUUUGAUAGUGUAGGAGAAAAUAGGAGAAGAUUUGAUUUACAAAAGAGAAAAUUAGGACUUUCUAUUUUAAUACCAUAUAAAAUAA